rnacentral:misc_RNA from 1 species
UUUUUUUUUUUUUUUGUCAUUUUUUAUAUAUAUAUUUCAAAUAAGUGUCCUAUUUGUCAUGUUGCUUUUACCUGUGAUUGGCGUCAAAACUUCUUCCAUAUCUUUGAACAGUCUUAAUUUUCUGUGACAUGAUUCUUGCCUUGUGAGUCACUUUAGUCCAUUUUUGUUUCUGGGUUUAGGUUUAAAUUGCUAACUAUUUGCAUCUAUCAUUUUGGGUUAAUAAGUUUAUUAAUUUUCUGAACAGUGAGUUUAUUCCACUUCAAUUCUGAAUUUUGACAUAAUUUCGGUGUUUAAAUUAAUCUGUUCUAUAAUUUCUUCCUGAAGGGCCUCUUCAUUUUUCUUCAGAGUGAGUUAGGCUUGUUUUGUUGAGGUGGAAUCAUCAACCUAGGUGUCUAUUGUUUAAAGUGAUGUUUUUUCUUUCAGCCAACUCAAGGAAUGUUAAAUAUCUUUAAGGAAAAGUGAGAACUCCAUUGAGUUGAGAGAAUCCUGAAAGUGAUGUACUUUCUUAGCAUGUUGCACACACAUGUUAUAUGUUCUUGUUUGAAAAGAGAGAAAUGUGGAAUUUAUUCCUGUAUCAAUUUUAUGAUCACUUGAAGCAGGGAUGAUUAUGUUGAAAAUGAUAAUAUUGUUGCAAGACAAAGUAAAUAGACCUUGUUUUG